GGGCUCACUUCGGCAGCACAUAUACUAAAUUGGAAUGAUACAGAGAAGAUUAGCAUGGCCCCUGUGCAAGGAUGACAAGUAAAUUUGUGCAGUAUUCUAUACUAAA